GUGACUAUCAUGCAAAUAACUAUGAAUUAAGGGCUGUUAUUAACCAUUAGAUCUGACUUUAAAGGUUUUAAAGUGUAGAACAGGAAGUGUGACUUUAUUCUCUCGAUUUUGGGAGUAAUUCCAGAGGGAUUUUCUGAUUUCUUCUCUUGCAUUCCAUGCAUAUUACCAUUUAAAUGGCUGGCAGAAAAUGACUUUGCACAUUCUUCUACAGUCCAAGCAUACUCUCACAGUUUUUUUUUUUAAAGUGUACUAUCAGUGGUAUGCAAACUGAAUGAAAAACAUCUCCCAAUUUCCUGGUCCUCCAUUAGGAUCUUCUCAUCCUAAAAGCUAGUUUUGUGUGUUUUAAAGCCAUUAUAACAAACAAUGCCUUACAAUGCCUUACAAUUACAAUAAUAUCAUUAAUAAGAGAGAAUAGGAAUAUAUGCGCAUUACACUAAUAAUAAUUUAGGUUGAAUGCUUAAAUUUCAUAUAACCUAAAUAAUGUCUGAAAUAAAAAGGGACAAAAGUUGCAACAGGGUGCUGGUACCACUUCAAAAGGUACUUGAUGGUAAGAAGUACAUAUUUAUUUAGGCCUGAGCAUAUUUUUAGCAUGUGUCAGGUGUCUUGUUUCCUUGUUUAUGCCGUUCAUGCGUUUACAUUGAUCAAUCUUCAAUCUGUGCUAUGUCACUUAUACACAUCCAUAAGGUAAAGUAGCCACAUGACAAUAUUCUGAAAAUGAAAGAGAGAUGCUUUUGUUCAAACUAUUGCACAACUCUUAUGAAAAUUAACCGUGGUAUUAUUAAAAAUUAAACUAAACAACCAUGGUUACUAUAGUUAAACCAUGGUUACCACAAAUAAACCAUGGUUUUGCCAUGCUAAUCUUAGUUCAACCGUGGUAAACAGUCGUUAUUAAAAUGGUAUUAAACAUGCCAAAAAAAGUUUGCUACACUUUUACUGUAAUAAAACAAUAGUUAAUUUUAAGGAAAGGUUAACUUUAAGGAAAUAGUUUACUUUAAGGAAAGGAAAUUGAUCAGAAAGCAUGAUCAUUGAAGAAAUAAACUUAUAGGCUUACUUAAUAUACAACACACAGUGCACAAAAUCGCAGGCAAUGAUAGCUCACUUCAUGUUGGUCAUGCGUUGUUCUGUUUUGGUAUUUUUACUGAUUUAUUUGCAUUUUAUCCAUGCCUGGAGUAAAGCCUGAAUGAAAGAAAAUUUAAAUGCAGUUUAUACUUUUGACCACUGGAUGGCGAGAAAGUUCUAAAGGUAACUUUGCAAGGCGCUGUUUCUACGGUAUUUUUCUACAGCUCGCUACUGUGGAGUUAGUUCCGCGCUCCAAUCCCUACGUAUUUUCUUUUGCACGAUAUCAAAACUAGUUCCUAAAAUGACCGUGUUUUCAUUUUUAGCAUUUGAAAAUGAGUCCCUUUUGAUUAUUUUCAACAAGUGGAAGAAAUAACGGAUUUCUACCCAGGCUUGUGUCACAGAACUCCCUCAGGCAGGACUUGACCUUGUGGCCCUCAGCUGCUAAUGAAGGGUCUCAGCCCAGCGCUGCGUCUGAAGUCUCAGCGUCACCUCUGCCUGUCUCAUCCUCAGACAAGCCCGCCGGGUUUGUUCCAGCAGGUUUUUGUUUCGGAAGGGAGGAAUAAACACAAAUGACAUAAUUCUCCUGUGUGGGUUUAUAGGAGCGAACUGUCCAUUCUGCCAAGAGGGACAGAGAGACACAAUCUCCUGGGAGGAAGACUGAGCCAGGGGAGCUGUCUCUGAGUGAGCUGGCUGAGAGCCCAAGAACAUCCGCUAAAACACACAGAGCGGCCUGACACACACAAUAAACACAC